AAGGCUGCUAGCAGAAUACUGGCUUCC
rnacentral:piRNA from 1 species